UCUCUUCUUUCAAACCCUACUGAAACUUCAUCUUCAUAGAAAUCUCUCAAUCCUCUUCAAUAAUCGACUUAUCUUCUCAUUUUUCAUUUUUUUCAUUUUCUUUCUCUCUCUGUUUCUCCUCCCGCCUCUCAUUCUCUUCCCUCUUAGAUUUUAGGGCUUCGAUUGGGUUAAUCAUCUGUUCGAUUGGAUAAAAUUUCUGGUGAUAACCCUGAAAUCAAAACCUUUAUUUCUUAACCCAUACACCAGAAAUGUCGAUCUAUCAUAUGUUUACUUGAAAUAUUUGUAACCCUAGAUCGAUUCUGUUCCUGAGAUUUAAAAUUCUAAUCAUCUGAUAGGUGUUUGUGCAACAGUUUGUUGAUUAUCAUCAUCUAAUAGGUGAUUUGUAACAGUUUGUUGAUUAUCAUCUGCUAUAAACAAUCAACUUCUACUAGUUUGAUUUGAUUUUGUUUGUUUUUUAUUUUGACCCAACUCUGUGAAUAGUGUAGAGUUAGGGGUUUUAUUUGGAGGAGUAUAAAUUUGUAGAAGAAGAAGAGGAUUUGAAGGUUGAGAAAAAAGAAGGGAAGAUGGAUAAUGGUGAUGGUUGGAAGAGUAAAAGAAGAGAGGAUUUGGUCAAGUAUAUGUUGGUAGAAGGGUUUCAGGUGGAAGUGGGACUUCUGGUCCGACUGCUGUAGAGAUGGCUUUAAAGUUUGAGCAUAGAACUGGUAAGGGAUGUAACUAUGGACCUCCGUAUGAGUGGAAGGUCUACAAAGUACGAAAGGAGCUUGCAUCAGUAAGCCGGGCAGAGCUUACGGCAGGCUUUAUGCGCGUCCAAAGUUAAUAUUUUGUUGUUCAUAAUAUGUAUAUCACGGGGAUGGAUCUGGGGUAGUCUUAUAUUGCUUAUGAACCAUGCUUUUGUUAUAUUUUGUUGUACAUAAAAAUGUGGGGAUCUCGUCUGUUAGAUAGUUCAUAUCGGUAUUUGGCUUAUGUUUUGGUGGUUGUAUGCAACUGUUAUAGACUAGUGCAAGGCCUGGUUUUGGUGGGUGUAUUAUUUUGCAUACAGAGCCUUAACGUACUAGCAUUUUUCAUUUUAUAUAUAUGUUGUGCAAGAUUUGACCUUGGUAUGUAUGCCAGUCUUCUCCUAUAUACUACUUCCUUUUAAAUUCCUUUUAUAUAUAUCUUGGGAAGCUGUAGUAUUUUCAGUUUAGUCAAUGAUAAAGUUGUGUAUCCCUCUGCGGAAUAAUUACGAUUUUUACAACUACGACAGGUACGUGCAUGGGGAUGUAAAUCCAGAGAACUUUUUGAUUGGAACCCCAGGCACUCAUGAAGAAAAGAAAUUGUUCCUAGUUGAUCUUGGAUUAGCUACUAGGUGGCGAGAUACUUCAACUGGUCAGCAUGUGGAGUAUGAUCAGCGACCAGAUAUAUUCAGUUCCGUAGCUUCUUCUUCUUCAAACCUUUGGGCAUUGAUUAUGGACGCUGGUACUGGUUUCAGUUCCCAAGUAUACGAGCUCUCACCCCAUUUUCUUCACAAAGUUACGAUGGAAGGUUCACCAAUGUAUAAAAUUGAGAAAAAGUUGGGUGAAGGAGGAUUUGGUUUGUUGCAGGACCAAAGAUAGUGCCAACUUAUGAAGCUUCAGCUUACCUAGUUGCAGUUAACUAGGAACUCUAAGAAGAGAAGUAUGCUUCCCGGAGAGGUUUUCUCCAUAUGCUUCAAGCCGAAGAGGAUGAAAGUCAAUGAAAAAAGUAUUUAGACUAGAGGAAGAAGCGAGAAUCAUGACGGAUGUUCCAGGCUGGAAGGUCGGUGAAAGCGUUUAACACUCUCCUGAUGUCUGGAUUGCCUACAUCGAGUUUUCUUAUGCCCAAGCUUUCAACAAAGCAAGCCUUCAAAGGAUAUAAAUUUUAGUUGCUUUAUUUCAUCAGAAAUGGUAGAGAACAAAGCAGCUUCAAGGUUUGUAAGUUCCAUGUAUUCAAAUUUUGUAGGCAGUUCGUAAGUUUGUAUGUGUUCCCUUAGAAAUUUGGAACCUUCCAUGUAUUCCUUUAGAAAUUUGAUACUUGAUAAAAAAAAAACUUGAUACUUAGAGAAAUUUCAGUUCUUUUGUUAUAUGAAUCUGAGAUGAAUUGAA